rnacentral:lncRNA from 1 species
ACACGGCUGCAGUGACUUGCCCAAGGACACUGCCGGGGCUUGAGUGUUGGAGGACUUGAGCCUUAGAGUGUUGAAGAUGGGAGUUUGAGAACUAGCUCUGCCAUGAGCUGUGACACAGUGGCCAUUAUCUUGUUGCGCCUUGAGUACAUUAUCCCUAAAAUGGGAUAAUUGCUCUCCUGCCUGUAUUAUGUGAUUAUUGAAGAACUGAGUGAAGAAACAGCUAUUCUAGCAAAUAUUUACUGAGCGCUUAUUUUCCAAAUGUUCUAAUCCUUCACGCAACCCAAACGCUUCUCACAGCAGUCCUGCCGAUUAGGCGGAGUUUCACCACGUCUCAAACUCCUGGCUUGUCUCAAACUCCUAACCUCAGGUGAUCCGCCCGCCUAUUUGACGAUAAAGUUUGCUGAUCCUGCCCUAGACUGUAAGCUCCAGGAGAGCAGAGACCGCGUCUCUUUCAUCUACUCUGCAUCUCAAUACCUGACUUGGUGCCUGGCUUGAAGUCAGUCAUGAACAGAGGGGAUGCCACCAUUACGAUGUGUUUCUUUAUUUGAAUGAAGACGCAAGACUGUUGUAGAAAAAGAGGCCAAAUGACUGCACUUACCUGCUAAGGACAAAGUGGGAGCCUCUAUCAUGAAGGGCACCAGGUCCAUGGAUAUUUGAAAUGGCCUUGAAAAAUAUGGGAACUGUAUGGAGCAUCUGGAAAGCAUCUGUGGAAGAAUUACAGCAAAAACUUCUACAAUUCAAG